rnacentral:rRNA from 1 species
ACGAACGCUGGCGGCGUGCUUAACCCAUGCCAGUCGAACGGAAAGGCCCUGCUUGCAGGGUACUCGAGUGGCGAACGGGUGAGUAACACGUGGGUGAUCUGCCCUGCACUUCGGGAUAAGCCUGGGAAACUGGGUCUAAUACCGGAUAGGAGCCAUUUUUAGUGUGAUGGUUGGAAAGUUUUUUCGGUGUAGGAUGAGCUCGCGGCCUAUCAGCUUGUUGGUGGGGUAAUGGCCUACCAAGGCGGCGACGGGUAGCCGGCCUGAGAGGGUGGACGGCCACAUUGGGACUGAGAUACGGCCCAGACUCCUACGGGAGGCAGCAGUGGGGAAUAUUGCACAAGGGGCGCAAGCCUGAUGCAGCGACGCCGCGUGGGGGAUGACGGCCUUCGGGUUGUAAACUCCUUUCGCUAGGGACGAAGCUUUUUGUGACGGUACCUAGAGAAGAAGCACCGGCUAACUACGUG